CCUAACCUAACAGGCCCAACCCAAAUCCAUCAACGAUAUUCACAGCAACUCUUCUUCUUCUUCUUCCACUACGCCACGACCCAAGUCUUUCUCAGUUCUAACAAUGGAGAAAGUGGGUUCGAAAGUUACAAUUCCCUGAUUUAUUAUUAGCUCCAGGGUUCAUACAUCAGAGAUGCUUAAUCUGUUGUCGAUGUUACUGAUACCAUGAGCCUUCCAAAAAAGCUCGCGCACUCGACGACUCCGAGAUUGGGAUCAAGGUGGUAGAAACUGCUCAGUUCAGGCAGAUCUAUCGAAGCAGGGAAGUUGGUCAAUCAUAUUUAGCAUCUGUUUGGACAACCUUGAUUGUGAUGGCUCAUGCACUCUAGCUAAUGACUAAAAUUAGACCCCAAGUGAGGAGCAUUAGUGAAAAUGUACUUUUAUCUGGACUCUUACUUGGGACAGACCAAAUGGAAGUUUUACACUUUUUUAGGCCCCAAUUUAGGUGGACAAUUUCUUGAAUAUCAUUAUGAAGAUGGGAAUGGUACUUAUCUUUGGCAGGCUAGUUGGCAUCUUGGUCCUCUGUUGCUUAAAUAUGUACCUCGUAUCAGCAAUGAUAGUCAGAGUUUGUUGCUCUUUCCUUGGUACUUGAAGCCUUCUCCAAUGCAAAUUUUCCAUGGUUGGUAAUGAGUUAGUACAAGCUCAGCAAAACAGAUGUUUGCACUCAUUGGGAACGUUCAGUUUCCAUAGGACUCUUCACCCAAACAACUCGGUGCUCGGAAGAGGAUAAAUUUUCUACAGGCACAGCCAAUGUAUUUAUUUACUCUUUUAUCUCUUGUAUCAAAGAGUUGUUCUAAAAGUGAGACCAUUCCACCAACGAGUAUCAUUGUCCAAAUAAAUCUCGAACCACCACAAUUUGUUCGGCACUAUGACUUGUUGUUUCUUGAACAUUUGUAUUGUAUAGUUUUGUAUUAUGGUGCACACGUGAUAUACUAAAAGGUUUAUUCAAUGUCAAUGCUGUUGAAUUGUAGUUAAA